rnacentral:rRNA from 1 species
GAAGUCGUAACAAGGUUUCCGUAGGUGAACCUGCGGAAGGAUCAUUGUCGAGACCGAAACCACAUCGAGCGAUUCGGAGAACACGUGAAGCGAGCGGCGGCGGCUGCCGUCGCGGGACGACCGUCCCGGCCGUCGCCUCGCCCCCUCCCGGGCGGGCCGCCGCGGCCGAGGACGGGUAAAAACACGAACCGGCGCAGCCCCGCGCCAAGGGAUUAUCGAAAGGCACGAGCCCCACGCCGGGCUCGGUGGCGUGGAGCGCCAUCGCGCUCCAUGCGGAUGGACACGACUCUCGGCAAUGGAUAUCUCGGCUCUCGCAUCGAUGAAGAGCGCAGCGAAAUGCGAUACGUGGUGCGAAUUGCAGAAUCCCGCGAACCAUCGAGUCUUUGAAUGGGUGCGCGCCGGCGGAGGCCCGGAUGUGCAGGGUGGCCCGUCGUGCCGGUCGGUGCGGCGGGCUGAAGAGCGGGCCGUCGUCCCGCCGGCUGCGGGCAACGAGGGGUGGGUGAGAGAUGCGAACGCAGCCCGCGUUGUCUGGUACUGAGCCAGGGGAGGGCGGCGGAGCAUUAAAGGCGAUCCCGACCCACGCGCCGAUCUGCGUGAGCCGGCUUGGAAUGCGACCCCAGGAUGUU